rnacentral:lncRNA from 1 species
UGUGCUGAAUACUGUAGGCAAUUAUGACAAAAUGGGUGUUGCCAAUGUGAAGGCAUUAAGAAGUGGAGCCUUUAAGAGGGAAACGGGAGCAGCCUCCACUGCUUACCUGUUCAAACCACCUUAAUUUGUGGCCUCUGGGGUGGAAGGCUCACAGCUGGACUACAUCUCCUAGGCUGUGUUUCAGCCAAUGGACUAUGGCCAAAAGCAGGGAAUGCCCCUUCCAGGCCUGGCCUAUAAAAAUCCCCCAUGUGCUCCUCUGUUCUCUCUUUGUCCACCUGCCAGCUGGACAUUGAUGCUCAAGGCAACCUUGGAGGUCAUGUGUUGAAGAUGGCAGUGUCUUUG